AUAGACAAUAUAGAAGACAGCGCGCUAGCGGAUCUAGUCUGCUGUAUGUAUCUAUGGUCGGCACAUCUGGUAGCAUCUCUGGCUGUUUUUGACCUUGUUUUUGGAGUAAAACACGGUGGAAGCUGAAUUAGUGAGGAUGACUCCUGCUCCUGUCAUCUCUAAGCUCCUCACACAUCUUUACCUGCACAUGAGGAAAAUCACUCCUGUAGAAUGCAGUGGUUCAUCAGAACCUCUGGGGAUCCUGUGGAUUCUGUGGAUCCUGUGGGUUGCAGGGUGGGUCCUACCUAGACCAGGCUGAUCCUGGACCAUCCCACAGAUGCUCCAUCAGAUGUGGAUGUGGGGAGUGUGGAACCCAGAUGUUCAGAGGGAGAUGAUGCCACAUCUGGUCCAGCUGAUGGAAGGUCUUGAAGUUCUCUGACUGGCCUCGACUGAAGAUGGUCAUCUCACUGGAUUUAAGGUUCAGAUGCUCAGUAACAAACUCCACCAAUGAGCCAACAGGGAAGCUUUAGGUUUAUUAAAUGUUGCUAUGAAGGUAUCACUGUUUUUCUUUGUGAAUGCAAUGUGCUCCAACUGAAACUUGAAUUAGAACUUAGAAGUAAAUCCUUCCAUCUGAAAGGAUUUAGUUGCAUUAAUAACCUCAUAACAUUCUAAUUUUUAUUCCAGUCUUGGUUGGAAAUAGAAUCUCUGUAUUGAUUCAGGUAAAAACUGAACUUCACAGCAUGUUGGAGCAAAACAACCAGAUGAAAACUGUGAUGGUGUUGGAUUGUCAGACCGUAAUGUUGCAGCUCAAAGCAGCUUUUCUAUCUCAGUUCAUUCUGACAUUCAGCCAUGAAUCAACACAGCAGAUGGUGAUCCAUGCUGUGGAAGUCUCACAUCUCCUGAUUUAAUGGAGCUGCUUUGCACUUUUUACACUGUUUAUUCACCAACUCUUUAUUUAAUAAAAGUCCCAUCUAGUUUUUAUGAGGAAUGUGAUGUUUUAAUUUCUCUGUAAAUAACUGCAGUCUAAUGCAACAGCUGGAGUUGUAACAUCUGUCCUGA